rnacentral:rRNA from 1 species
GACGAACGCUGGCGGCGCGCCUAACACAUGCAGGUCGAACGAGCGAGAGAGAGCUUGCUUUCUCGAGCGAGUGGCGAACGGGUGAGUAACGCGUGAGGAACCUGCCUCAAAGAGGGGGACAACAGUUGGAAACGACUGCUAAUACCGCAUAAGCCCACGGUGCCGCAUGGCACAGAGGGAAAAGGAGCAAUCCGCUUUGAGAUGGCCUCGCGUCCGAUUAGCUAGUUGGUGAGGUAAUGGCCCACCAAGGCGACGAUCGGUAGCCGGACUGAGAGGUUGAACGGCCACAUUGGGACUGAGACACGGCCCAGACUCCUACGGGAGGCAGCAGUGGGGAAUAUUGCACAAUGGGGGAAACCCUGAUGCAGCGACGCCGCGUGGAGGAAGAAGGUCUUCGGAUUGUAAACCCCUGUUGUUGGGGAAGAUAAUGACGGUACCCAACAAGGAAGUGACGGCUAACUACGUA